CGAAAUUCGAGGACCGUUGCCCACACGCCACCGUUUGCCCCGGCGGCCGAGGCGGCAUGUGCAGACACGUCCUGGUCAGCACGCACGCACGGAGGAAUACUCCCCUCGGGGUCCCGGGGGCAAAGCCUUCCCCAGCCAGGACAAACUCCAGCGUGGGCUCCGGCGGUGACUUCCCCGUGCCCCACCAGCACCAGGGCCAGAACACGCGCACCCCGAAGUCACCGGUGCCCCAGUCCACACCUAGGCACGCGCACGCGGCUCGGGCUCCUCCAGGUGAGUCCCUCCUGGUCACACUCCCGCGUGUCCUUGUCCCUUUGCACGCUGAGUCCAGUGCACGCCACCCACGCACGCACGCGUCCUCCGCUGUCCGGGUGCGCGCACCCCAAGGUCCCGGCCUGCGUGAAGGAGAGGUGCAGGCAGCCCCAACCUGGGCACUUAGUCGCCUCCCAGUGCCCCCGCCUGUCAGAGGUCAGCGCUGCCCCACCAGACUUGGGGGCUGCUCUCCAAGCACCCCCGACGGGGCUGAUUCUCGGGUUGAUCUUCAGUUCAAAAGCUGGGGGCCCUUUCCGGUCGUCCCUCCGCGGCGUUUUGGGUCACCCUUCUGCCCCCUCUAGUUUCCCAGGGUGACUCUCCCUCUCCCCGGCCCCACGGAACAGGAAGACACCGCGGGCAGGCGACCUUUGCGAAGGCUGGCCCCGGGACCCACCCUUUCCGAGGCGUGCUGCUGCGCCUGAGUUUGGGGCAGACUUUCCCGAAGCUCCCAUCCCUUCCCGCGAGCCUGCUGCCUCGGGCUUCCAGUUCGGGGUCCUUCAAGCUGGUUUUUCCCGGGUCAGGCCACGUACCCCUCGGACAUGCAACUCUGCGAAAUGCCUUUUAUUUUUAAGUAAGAGUGGGAGAGAAGAAUGCCUAGGGCAGAUUCCCCUCCACCCCCCGAAUUUGCUGACGUAUCCUUUGAGCCCAGAGCAGGGCCUGGCACCCCGGGGGCGCUCACCAAAUAUCUGCAGCACCUUUAUUCCGCGUGCUCCCGCUGGACGGCGGAAGUGGAACGUGGACCGGCACUGGCUCCUGGUGGUGUCUUGUGGAACUGUCGCCGAGGUUCUUCCGUAGCGCGCAGAUUCGGCCUUCUGAGCCUCAGUGUUCUCUCCUGUAAAACAGAGCUCGUUUUAGUAGUACAUGCCUAUCCGGGUAAACAAACGAGACCUGAGAAGGGCUUUACACAAGUUCUGGCACUUGUAAAAUCCUUAGUAGGAGCUACUAAUAUUGGAAUUACAGUUACAUUCCUUUCCCCGGCUUGUUUUUAGAGAGACCUUUGAUCAUAAUGGAUGACGAUAUUUUGGAAGGAAGGAGUGAAAAUGAAGGAGGAUUCUGGUGCUUGCUGCUUUCUGCUCACCCUGCCAUGGACUGUUUCUCCUCUGUGAUAGCCCCUCUGCCAUGCUGCCCUUCCUUGGAGCCAGAUUAGUGACUAAACUUCUACAAAUGACCUUUCAGGAGCCUCUUUAUUCUGCAAGUAAUUACCUCAUAUCCCAAAUGGCUUUCCAGCUGUCCAUCCAUCUCCACAAAUCAUCUUGGCAUCACAGGGGUCUUUGGUUGGUAAGUGUCUAUACCUUAAGUAUGAUGAAACUGAGACUUGGAUAGAUUGGGGCUUUCCCACAGUCCCUGGCUGGUUAGUGCAGAGGUGGGGUUUGGGCCCCAUUAUCUAUGACUCCCCACUUCUCCUUGCUGCUGCCUUGCAGGUGCCACUUCUGAAACAUCAACCGACUCCAUGGAGAAACUGGAUGAAAUGGUGGAAUCCAGACAUCUGAUCUAUUUGAAGUGCCCUUUGAAUUGCCUUAGGCAGUCCUCCAAGUGUGGCCUGCGGAACCUCCCUGGGAUCUGCAAGAUGAGAACUGUUUUAAGGACAGCUCUAAGGCCUCGGUGUCCCUUCUCACCAGCAUGGAGGCAGAGUAGCUUCCAGCAGCUUCCAGAUCCAUGGUACUGCAACAGGCUGAGCAGCCGCAGAUGUGAGGCACCGCCGUCUUCUCUUACAGCAGACAUUAUGGAGACUUUCAAACCCUGCAAAGUAUCUCUGUGCUUCUCACUAAUUGCUUUUUGUUUUGGAAAAUACAGGUUUUUUCAUAAAAGGGUUUAUGUUAAUAUAUAAUGGGAUUAUUAUUGUUUUUAAAUGAAUCUUUCAAAAAAUUCUUGGUUUUAUUUUAAAAGAAGGUAAAUAUUGCUAUUUGUCUACAGAUAUUAUCUCCUCGAAGUUCUUUUAAGUUAAGACAAUAUCACUUACCCCCUACCAGGUGGUGGUUCUGUUGGCGGUAGGACAUAAAGUAUCUUUCUUGAGGUGCUCCUGCUCCUCCUUUUCUGUCUUUGCGUCUUUUAUAUUUUUCUUUUCUCUCUUUUUACAGUGCUGGGGCUUGAACUCAGGGCUUGAUGCUGGUUUCAUUAUGUUGCCCAGGCUGGCCUUAAGCUUCUGGAUAUAAACAAUCCUCCUGCCUCAGCCUCCCCAGUAGCUGGCCACAGGUGUGUGCCACCAUACCUGGGUAUUAUUUAUUAAUUUUAAAGCAUAAAAGGUUUCCAAGACCAUCCAUUUUGAGAACCAUUAAAUUAUACUUAUCUACUGGAAUCAUCUCUCCAGAAAGAACAACAAAUAUUUAUACCGCAUUUAGAGUUUACCAGGUACUGUUCUAAACAGCAUAAACUCUCAUGAUUCUCUUGGCAACCCCAUGAGGUGUGCCGUUUCCCUGUUUUGUAGAAGUGGAAGUUGAGGCACAGAAAGGAAAUGAUCAGAAAGCCUCCCGCAUUCAGAUGUUCCCCAAGAGGGACAGGCUGGGCCUUCGUGUGAAGAACAGAAUGUUCCUGGACCCAGUUUCUUGCUUGGAGGCAAGAAUCCCAAAUACGCCCAGGCCUUUGCUGCCCCAGUAGCAGAAUGGCCAGGGGUCACACAGUAGAUGCACAGUGCAGAGGCCAGAACCCGGUGGAUACUGAUGCAUUUUCUUGUGGUUCUUACUGUCACGCUUUGUCUACCCGAAGGCCACUUCUGUGGGCAGGAUGAAUUUGAGGACCUCAUUUCUUCUGCUGGGACUCUGACCUCGUUCAACAUCACUGGGAAUGAUAGUGGACAGGGCACUGUCCACUACAUCCUAUCUAGAAACAAUAAAAUAAGAAAUCUUAAAAUUCCAAUGUAUAGAGUCUGUGUUUUAUAUAUCUGUUCAUCAGCUGAUGGGCAUCUCAUUGCUUUCGCUUUGAACUAUAGUGAACAAUGCUGCUAUAACCGUUUGUGUACAAUUCUGUGGGGCCCUAUAUUACCAUUUGGGGGGGAUAGAUACUUAGGAUGGAAUGGCUGUUUAUAUGGUAAAAGUAUGAUGGGUAAGAAACUGUCCACCUACUCUAAAAGUUGUUUGUUUGUUUGUUUGUUUGUUUGUUUUAGGGACAGGGUCUUGUUAUACUCCCCACACUGGCCUUGAAUCCAGGGCUCAAGGGAUCCUCCUGCCUCAGCCUCUCAAGUAGCUGGGACUGUAGGUCUGUGCUACCUACCAUGCCUGGAUUAGAAGUGUUUGUCAGGCUGGGCACAGUGGCA
rnacentral:lncRNA from 1 species